rnacentral:rRNA from 1 species
CCUACGGGGCGCUGCAGUGAGGCAUAUUGGUCAAUGGCCGGAAGGCUGAACCAGCCAUGCCGCGUGAGUGAUGAAGGUAAUUUUAUUGUAAAGCUCUUUUCUUUGGAACGAAUAAAUGACGGUACCAAAGGAAUAAGCCCCGGCUAACUACGUGCCAGCAGCCGCGGUAAUACGUAGGGGGCAAGCGUUGUUCGGAAUGACUGGGCGUAAAGGGUGUGUAGGUGGUUUGAUAAGUUAGAUGUGUAAUACCCAGGGCUUAACUCGGGUGCUGCAUCUAAAACUGUUAGACUUGAGUACUGGAGAGGAUAGUGGAAUUCCUAGUGUAGCGGUGGAAUGCGUAGAUAUUAGGAGGAACAUCAGUGGCGAAGGCGACUAUCUGGACAGCAACUGACACUGAGGCACGAAAGCGUGGGGAGCAAACAGGAUUAGAUACCCUUGUAGUC